GACAGAGGGUGCAAGCGUUGUUCGGAAUCACUGGGCGUAAAGCGCAUGUAGGCGGCGGAGUAUGUCCGACGUGAAAGCCCCCGGCUCAACUGGGGAAGUGCAUCGGAAACUACUUCGCUCGAGUGCGAGAGAGGGUGGCGGAAUUCCCAGAGUAGAGGUGAAAUUCGUAGAUACUGGGAGGAACACCUGCGGCGAAGGCGGCCACCUGGCUCGUAACUGACGCUGAGAUGCGAAAGCGUGGGUAGCAAAC
rnacentral:rRNA from 1 species